rnacentral:rRNA from 1 species
CGCGUGGGCAAUCUGCCUCCAAGAUCGGGAUAACUCGCCGAAAGGCGUGCUAAUACCGGAUAACAUUUUAGGAACGCAUGUUCCAAAAAUCAAAGAUGGCCUCUACAUGUAAGCUGUUGCUUGGAGAGGAGCCCGCGUACCAUUAGCUUGUUGGUAGGGUAACGGCCUACCAAGGCUGCGAUGGUUAACUGGUCUGAGAGGAUGAUCAGUCACAUUGGAACUGAAACACGGUCCAGACUCCUACGGGAGGCAGCAGUGAGGAAUUUUGCGCAAUGGGGGAAACCCUGACGCAGCAACGCCGCGUGAGUGAAGAAGGCCUUUGGGUGUAAAGCUCUGUCAAGUGGGAAGAACUAUUCGAUGCAAAUACCAUCGGGGUACU